GGCUGGUGGAGUCAAAAUCGGUUAUUUUUGUUUUAUUCCUUUCUUUUGGUUUUGUGAAUAGACAUCAUUCUUUCUUUUAUUUAUUUAUUUUCCGUUAGGGGAAAAGGGGAUUAAGGUUCUUUUCGUUUUUUAUUUCGUUGGGGGAUUAGGGGGGAGAUGGAGAGGAUGCGACGCGAGAGAGGGUGAAGCACAGAGUCUUCGUGUGCGAUCCAAAAGUGGAGACAACGGUGAUGGAGGGUCGAUUCGAGAAGUAGGAGGAAGUGUUAAGAACCAAGCGCAAUUUUUUUAGAAUGAACGAGAAGGGCUUUGUGUUUCUUGGGGUUUUGGGCAAACGUGGGGAGUGACUAUCCUAAUGGUUGACGAGGUUUCAAACCAGCAUGUAGAGAUGAUGGCCUUGGUUGGGGUGUAAGUGUUUUGAGCUUUAUUAUAGUUGAAGUUCACUAAGUCUGCAAAACUACCCUUAUAUGAGUUGUCCAUAUAUAUCUCAAUUUAGAACGUGACAAUGCAUGGUUUAGGUGCUGGAAUGGGUGGGUUCGAGGUAAGUUUGGGAGUAGGACAGUGGCUUAGCUAUCUUUCUGUGUGGCAGUGGCGGCCCGAGUGGGUUUAGUGCAAUUGGGUGUUUGAGAUUGAGUUAAGGAAGGGUGAGUGACUGGUGCAGAAAUGUUGUAGCUAACUAUUGUUUUUCUCAUGACUAUGUUUGGCAGCAUGUAAUUAAUUGAUUUCAAACUGCUAUGAGGUUGUGUGCUUGGACAGUAGAAUUGUUGUAGCUGGUUCGUGACGUUUGUACUUGAAACUGGUUGGUAAUGAUUUAAGGAUUGUCCCCCUGUGUUGUGAGAGUUAUAAAUGGUUUUGACGUUGUGGGAAGCGACGUUGCCGUCAUAGGGUACCUUGUUAGUUGUGUUGUCCUUUAUUUUAUGAAAAUCAACUUGUUCGUGAAGUUAUAUGUGCUGGUUGGUAAUAAGUGGUGUGUUUCGUCACUUUGGCCUGAAUAGAUUAUGUUGUUGUCUUGUUGUGGAUUUGAUCUGUUUAAAUUGUUAUCCUGUUGUUCCUACAUACUUUGAAGUUUUACGUGGGGUUGGGUAUUUUUAAUACUCGUUCUAACAUGUGUGAGAUACUUCAUGUCCUUGAAUACCUCGGGUUGGGUGGUUAUGUGUGAGUAGUGAUGGUCUAAGGAUAGUAGUUGUGGGCAAGGUUGGAGUUGUGUUAGAGAAUGGUAGUGAGUGGAGUUCGAACCUCAAAAUACCUUGAGUGUUACUCUUGUUAUUGCGCAAGAGCAAAGAGUGAUUGAUGGUGAAGUUUGGUAACAUAUGGGGAAUUUAAGGGUUCUCUGCGAUGUAGUGGAAAGAGGUCUUUUGUGCCGGUGCGUGGCAGUGGAAGAGGAUGAGUUAAAAAAGAGCGGUAAUGGUUUUUCGUGAAUAUUGUUUUUCUUAGUGAGAGAGACACAAUGUUGAAUCAAACAUGCGGUGUAGUGGUGGUUAUGAUUCUUUAGAAUGUCGUCUUGCCAUACUUCGUUAAUUCGGGAUUAUACUUUUCCUCUUUCAAGGGGUAGAAUGGUAGUCAUAUUUCCUCUUCUGAGGGGUAGAAAGGUUGGAUCUCUUCUUCUUUAAAAGGCGGUGGAAGAGAUGGGUCUCUUCGUUUAUGAUGGGCGGUAGAAGGGACUGGAAUUCAAGUGCUUUCUUUUCCUCUUGCGAUGGGGUAGAAAAUGAUUGAUGUCUCGCUCGUAGGAUUUCGGCUCAUGCUGAGUUUGGGAACAAGGGAGAUAAGUCCGAAGCUGCGGUAAAGGACCACUCGAAUUAUUCUGUUUUGGUAAACAGGGUGCGGGAAAGUUUGGAAGAAGACAUUCGUUUAUAAAGAUGGUUGGUAUUGACACAGGUUUUCUGUAAUGGAAGGGUUGUGUGGAACUAAUGGGUUGAUCAUGAUUCCUUAUAAAGAAAUGUAUGGGUUGUCAAUGUAUUGAUUGUUAUAGUCUUACUAUGUGUUGAUACUAUUUGAUGUGAUAUGAUUGUGAUAAAGGCUCAACAUCUGAGAUAUAAGUGUUAUGUUGGUGUUU